CCUACGGGUGGCAGCAGUGAGGAAUAUUGGUCAAUGGGCGGAAGCCUGAACCAGCCAAGUAGCGUGCAGGAUGACGGCCCUACGGGUUGUAAACUGCUUUUAUACGGGAAUAACGCGCCUUACUUGUAGGGCUUUGCAUGUACCGUAUGAAUAAGGACCGGCGAAUUCCGUGCCAGCAGUCGCGGUAAUACGGAAGGUCCGGGCGUUAGCCGGAUUUAUUGGGUUUAAAGUGAGCGUAGCGCGCAUGUCAAGCGUGCGGUGAAAUGUCCGGGCUCAACCCGGGCCUUGCAGCGCGAACUGGCGUGCUUGAGUCCGCGGAAAGCAGGCGGAAUUCGUCGUAUAGCGGUGAAAUGCUUAGAUAUGGCGAAGAACCCCGAUUGCGAAGGCAGCUUGCUGCAGCGGAACUGACGCUGAUGCUCGAAGGCGAGGGUAUCGAACAGGAUUAGAUACCCCUGUAGUC
rnacentral:rRNA from 1 species